UUGCUGUGAUGAUAACUUGGAUUAUUGAAAGCUUUGAUUUAAAGCUUGAUGGAAUGUCGACAAGUAUGUCGAUCCUGAGCGGUUACCUGAGCAA